CCCCUAGAUGUUCUGGGCCGCACGCGCGCUACACUGAACAGUUCAACAAGUCUUAACCUUGGCCGAUAGGUCUGGGUAAUCUUUGAACGCUGUUCGUGAUUGGGAUAGACCUUUGCAAUUAUGGGUCUUCAACGAGGAAUUCCUAGUAAACGCAAGUCAUCAGCUUGCAUUGAUUACGUCCCUGCCCUUUGUACACACCGCCCGUCGCACCUACCGAUUGAAUGGUCCGGUGAAAUCUCCGGACUGGCGUGAGUCGGAGCAAUCUGACAAACACCGGAAAGUUGAUUAAACCAUAUCAUUUAGAGGAAGGUGAAGUCGUAACA
rnacentral:rRNA from 1 species